CAGAAUAUGACCUUGACCUUCGACCUUGACCUCAAUUUCAAGGUCAUAGGUCAGUGAACUCAAAACGGAAGACCGGAGGUCAAUCAUUUGUAUGGUUGUGGAGAAAUACUGAUUUGAAAUACAUAAGGGGAGAAAACUCCUAUAAGGGUUAACCAAAACACUUUGACUGAAAUAGGUUGAAGUUGCGCCUUAUUGUAAACAGUUAUUUGGCAAACACAUCAUAUCAUUUACUGCCACAGUUUCUGUGGAAUAACGAUAACAAGCAAAAUUCAAAAUUUAGAACAUGACCUUGACCUUUGACCUUGACCUCAAUUUCCUUCAAAUGGACCAAGGACUUCAUAUCAAAAGACUGUAGGCCUCUACGACUUAUAACGUAUGAA
rnacentral:lncRNA from 1 species